rnacentral:rRNA from 1 species
AUCUCUGGUCAGACCACUAGGAACAUUGCUGAUCUUGUGUCAUCUUAGAAGCUAAAAAGGAUAAGCCCUGGUCAGAAGCUGGAUGGGAGAUGAUCUGGAAAAACCAGGUGCCGAAGGUG